GCUGUGGCUCAGUGGCAGAGCAUCGCCUUGGCAUGCAGAAAGUCCCAGGUUCAAUCCCUGGCAUCUCCA
rnacentral:tRNA from 1 species